rnacentral:rRNA from 1 species
UGAGUAACACGUGGAUAACCUACCUAUAAGACUGGGAUAACUUCGGGAAACCGGAGCUAAUACCGGAUAAUAUAUUGAACCGCAUGGUUCAAUAGUGAAAGACGGUUUUGCUGUCACUUAUAGAUUGAUCCGCGCCGCAUUAGCUAGUUGGUAAGGUAACGGCUUACCAAGGCAACGAUGCGUAGCCGACCUGAGAGGGUGAUCGGCCACACUGGAACUGANACACGGUCCAGACUCCUACGGGAGGCAGCAGAC